rnacentral:rRNA from 1 species
GCACGAGAGAGUGGAGCUAUACAUGAGUAAAGUGGCGUACGGGUGACUAACACGUGGAUCAUCUACCUCGUAGUGGGGAAUAACCCUGGGAAACCGGGGCUAAUACCGCAUAAUCCUGUGAAGGGAAAGCCGAAAGGCGCUGUGAGAGGAGUCCGCGGCUGAUUAGCUAGUUGGUGAGGUAACGGCCCACCAAGGCGAAUAUCGGUAGCCGGCCUGAGAGGGCACACGGCCACACUGGCACUGAGACACGGCCCAUACUCCUACGGGAGGCAGCAGUGGGGAAUAUUGCACAAUGGGCGAAAGCCUGAUGCAGCGACGCCGCGUGAGGGAAGACGGCCUUCGGGUUGUAAACCUCUUUCAGAUCCGACGAAGCGCAAGUGACGGUAGGGUCAGAAGAAGCGCCGGCCAACUACGUGCCAGCAGCCGCGGUAAU